GCGGGCAUCUUCGGAUGUUAGCGGCGGACGGGUGAGUAACGCGUGGGAACAUACCCUUUGGUACGGAAUAGCCUCGGGAAACUGGGAGUAAUACCGUAUGUGCUCUUUCACUGUAGAGGUGGUUGAGGAAAGAUUUAUCGCCAAAGGAUUGGCCCGCGUUGGAUUAGGUAGUUGGUGGGGUAAUGGCCUACCAAGCCGACGAUCCAUAGCUGGUUUGAGAGGAUGAUCAGCCACACUGGGACUGAGACACGGCCCAGACUCCUACGGGAGGCAGCAGUGGGGAAUCUUAGACAAUGGGCGCAAGCCUGAUCUAGCCAUGCCGCGUGAGCGAUGAAGGCCUUAGGGUUGUAAAGCUCUUUCAGUGGGGAAGAUAAUGACGGUACCCACAGAAGAAGCCCCGGCUAACUCCGUGCCAGCAGCCGCGGUAAUACGGAGGGGGCUAGCGUUGUUCGGAAUUACUGGGCGUAAAGCGCACGUAGGCGGGACGGAAAGUCCGAGGUGACAUCCCAGGGCUCAACCUUGGAACUGCCUUUGAAACUCCCGUUCU
rnacentral:rRNA from 1 species